UUGAACGCUGGCGGCAGGCCUAACCCAUGCAAGUCGAACGGUAACAGGAAGAAGCUUGCUUCUUUGCUGACGCGUGGCGGACGGGUGAGUAAUGUCUGGUAAACUGCCUGAUGGAGGGGGAUAACUACUGGAAACGGUAGCUAAUACCGCAUAACGUCGCAAGACCAAAGAGGGGGACCUUCGGGCCUCUUGCCAUCGGAUGUGCCCAGAUGGGAUUAGCUAGUAGGUGGGGUAACGGCUCACCUAGGCGACGAUCCCUAGCUGGUCUGAGAGGAUGACCAGCCACACUGGAACUGAGACACGGUCCAGACUCCUACGGGAGGCAGCAGUGGGGAAUAUUGCACAAUGGGCGCAAGCCUGAUGCAGCCAUGCCGCGUGUAUGAAGAAGGCCUUCGGGUUGUAAAGUACUUUCAGCGGGGAGGAAGGGAGUAAAGUUAAUACCUUUGCUCAUUGACGUUACCCGCAGAAGAAGCACCGGCUAACUCCGUG
rnacentral:rRNA from 1 species